UACAGAGGCCUCAAGCGUUACGCGGAAUCACUGGGCUUAAAGCGCGUGUAGGUGGACUUUUAAGUGCUUUGUGAAAUCCCACGGCUCAACCGUGGAACUGCUGGGCAUACUGGAAGUCUUGGGCCAUCCAGGGGCAACCGGAACAAGCGGUGGAGCGGUGAAAUGCGUAGAUAUCGCUUGGAACGCCAAAGGUGAAGACAGGUUGCUGGAGAUGUGCCGACACUGAGACGCGAAAGCCAGGGGAGCAAACGGG
rnacentral:rRNA from 1 species